CGGCAGGCUUAACACAUGCAAGUCGAGGGGCAGCACGGGUAGCAAUACCGUGGUGGCGACCGGCGCAAGGGUGCGUAACGCGUGAGCAACAUGCCCUAUACAGGGGGAUAAUCCAGGGAAACUUGGUCUAAUAUCCCAUAGUAUUUAGAGGAGGCAUCUUCUAUAAAUUAAAGCUUCGGGUGGUAUAGGAUUGGCUCGCGUGACAUUAGCUAGAUGGUGAGGUAACGGCUCACCAUGGCAAUGAUGUCUAGGGGUUCUGAGAGGAAGGCCCCCACACUGGGACUGAGACACGGCCCAGACUCCUACGGGAGGCAGCAGUGAGGAAUAUUGGACAAUGGAUGGAAAUCUGAUCCAGCCAUGCCGCGUGCAGGAAGACAGCCCUAUGGGUUGUAAACUGCUUUUAUAUGGGAGCAAUAAGGUCUACGUGUAGACUGAUGAGAGUACCAUAUGAAUAAGCAUCGGCUAACUCCGUG
rnacentral:rRNA from 1 species